CCAGUGCCCUUAACAGACAGAACCAAACAUGUAGAUGAGCAGUCCACUACCGGAACCCACAAGGAAACGUCCCCAUCCGUCCCGAUCACUCCUACCAUACUGGAGCGGGCCCCACGCCGCCUCAUAGGUCGACCCACGGACCAGCUUCAUCAGACCGUUGGACCAAGCGACCACCUCCACUGCCUUAACAUCGACCCUGCGACACCUCUGCCCGAAGUAAUGACCAAGACAGAGC